CGGUGAGAGGGGAAUAGAGAGUGACUGCUACUGGGUACAGGGUUUCUUUUUAGGAUAUAAAAAUGUUCUAAAUUAAGAUUGUGUAUAAUCAAAUUCAA